rnacentral:rRNA from 1 species
CUGAUGGCGACCGGCGUACGGGUGAGUAACGCGUAUCCAACCUGCCCUUUACUAUGGGACAGCCCGUCGAAAGGCGGAUUAAUACCGUAUGUUGUCAUGUUGAUGCAUAUUUUCAUGACCAAAGGCUUCGGCCGGUAAAGGAUGGGGAUGCGUCUGAUUAGCUUGCCGGCGGGGUAACGGCCCACCGGGGCGACGAUCAGUAGGGGUUCUGAGAGGAAGGUCCCCCACACUGGUACUGAGACACGGACCAGACUCCUACGGGAGGCAGCAG